rnacentral:rRNA from 1 species
UACGUAGGGCGCAAGCGUUGUCCGGAAUUAUUGGGCGUAAAGAGCUCGUAGGCGGUCUGUCACGUCGGAUGUGAAAAUCCAGGGCUUAACCCUGGACCUGCAUUCGAUACGGGCAUCACUGGAGUUCGGCAGGGGAGACUGGAAUUCCUGGUGUAGCGGUGAAAUGCGCAGAUAUCAGGAGGAACACCGGUGGCGAAGGCGGGUCUCUGGGCCGAUACUGACGCUGAGGAGCGAAAGCGUGGGGAGCGAACAGG